CCAAAAAAAAGUGAACUACAUGUGUUAUGUGGCUGCUGGGGAUCGAGGGAGAUGGAUUGAGAUCGAAGGAGCGGCGCUGAUGGCGUGAACAGUACCCGCGGAUACUGUUCACAGGGAGGCGGCUGUGAGAGCGAGAGAGGAGGCUAGGGUUUUGGGCGCUAGGAACGCCAGCCGCGGGGCUCUGCCCACGGCCGGCAAGAGAGAAGGGAUUUCCUUCUAAUUUCUUGCUUGAUUAAAUUGAUACAUCUCCUCUAUAUAGAGAGGUUUACUUGACUUACAAGCAAGACUUACUUGACCUCUAAGCAAGCGACUAAUUAACCCUAAUGGGCUAAGGCCCAAUAGGUCCUUGACUCUUCUAACACUACACCCCACCUGGACAUGCAGCUCGUCCUCGAGCUGCAACUUAACAACGACACUAACAAUGACUCCGCAAGACACAAACGUAACACCUAAAAACAAGUCUUUUACAUCUCGGCUUGUUUUAUUAUUCUCAACUAGAAAUAGAUUGGGACUCUUUAAUUUUAACCCCUGCACAUAAGGCGGACACCAUCCACCUGGAUCCCAUGGAGACCAUCUGGAUGAAAGAUGUGCUUGUGUGUGGCCUCCAGGAAGUGGUCGCAAUAGGGACCAGCGAAGGCGCCCUCGCGGUGGUCGGUGGCGGAAUCUGGCGACACUAGGCAGUGCGCUCCCACCGAUGACACCAUACCUUCUCCCCGCUGGACGGCUGGGCUUCCAACUGCCGACGCCGAAGACUUUGAGUCCACCCGCAGGAAAAACAGCAUGCACGCUGCCCGUGGGCGGAACCGCAAUCUGAAAAUCCCCGACGCAGCGGAUGAGAUCGCAGUCCUCCACGUGGUGGAGCUGCAAAUAGGUGCAGGGCUGAAUCAGCGGCAGAUCACGCAUCUUUCGCACCCGCCGACGUGCAAGGAGGCCACGCGCAGCAGCUUGCAGCCGCACUACCGCCGACGCCUGGCAGCGAAGCGUCUUCUCCGCCAGCUCCGUCGCCAUCGGCUGCUCGGUCUGCUGCAGCAUCUUGCCCUCAUCUCGGACCUGCUGGAAGCUGGUACCCCUAUAGAAGAUCCCAUCGGUGAAUGGGUGCUGGAUGGUUGGUACACCGGGGAGGACAACAGCAUUGGUGGAGGGUGGUGGAGCAACUGUCGUCGUGGCCGCCGGGGUGCUUGCCAUCGUGUGCACCAGCCCCAUCGUCGAUGCUAGAGCAUAAGACGAAAUCGAUGGAGGGGGCGGCAUCCAUGGCUGCUGGAUGGGAACCAGGGCAGAUGGAUGCACGCCCUGGAACGAAAACGUCGUCGUCCCGUAACCAGGCAUCCCGUGCAGGAAAACCUGUGACACCGGCUGCUGCUGCUGCGACUGCAGCGUGGCGAGAUAUGAUUGGAUCUCGGCAACAGAAGACUGGAGCUUGAGGAUCGCCGCGGUCAACUGUUCCGGCGUCAUCGCAGCGGAUGCCGAAGAAGACACCAUGGCAGCAAAGGAUCCUUGGGAACCUGACAUCUCCGAUACCAGAUGUUAUGUGGCUGCUGGGGAUCGAGGGAGAUGGAUUGAGAUCGAAGGAGCGGCGCUGAUGGCGUGAACAGUACCCGCGGAUACUGUUCACAGGGAGGCGGCUGUGAGAGCGAGAGAGGAGGCUAGGGUUUUGGGCGCUAGGAACGCCAGCCGCGGGGCUCUGCCCACGGCCGGCAAGAGAGAAGGGAUUUCCUUCUAAUUUCUUGCUUGAUUAAAUUGAUACAUCUCCUCUAUAUAGAGAGGUUUACUUGACUUACAAGCAAGACUUACUUGACCUCUAAGCAAGCGACUAAUUAACCCUAAUGGGCUAAGGCCCAAUAGGUCCUUGACUCUUCUAACAACAUGUUUGUCAGAAAAGAAAUUUUACAUGACGAAAGAAGCACCCAGAGGCAGAACAUAAGCCUAAGAGAGUAAGAGGCCUAACUUUUGUACUGAAAAUCGUAAAUCUAAAAACACUGUUUCGAAGACUUCUAGUACAAUGUAUAGAUCCCUAAUAGAAGAAACACAAUAUCUAAAUUCUUAUUUAAAUAUGGAUGUGUUAUGCAUGAAUACAACUUUGAAGAACUACCAGCAUGGCAAGCAACUUUUCGUAGGCACUGAAUUUCUACCAACAGUCACACCAAAUGGUCGGCAAAACAGCCUAGCGUACAUAUCUUCAGGUUAUCUCAGCCAUGAUGCAGAUUUGACAUUGACAGUGUUAAAUAACACAAGAGAACAGUUUAGUUAUAAUAACUUAUUGCUACUACUUUGGGACAAAUCUGAACUUCAAUGCGCAAAGAUGGUUAUC
rnacentral:lncRNA from 1 species